GGGGGCGUAGCUCAGAUGGUAGAGCGCUCGCUCAGCAUGCGAGAGGUACGGGGAUCGAUACCCCCCCCGCCUCCA
rnacentral:tRNA from 1 species